rnacentral:rRNA from 1 species
GAUGAACGCUGGCGGCGUGCCUAAUACAUGCAAGUCGAGCGAAUGGAUUAAGAGCUUGCUCUUAUGAAGUUAGCGGCGGACGGGUGAGUAACACGUGGGUAACCUGCCCAUAAGACUAGGAUAACUCCGGGAAACCGGGGCUAAUACCGGAUAACAUUUUGAACCGCAUGGUUCGAAAUUGAAAGGCGGCUUCGGCUGUCACUGAUGGAUGGACCCGCGUCGCAUUAGCUAGUUGCUGAGGUAACGGCUCACCAAGGCAACGAUGCGUAGCCGACCUGAGAGGGUGAUCGGCCACACUGGGACUGAGACACGGCCCAGACUCCUACGGGAGGCAGCAGUAGGGAAUCUUCCGCAAUGGACGAAAGUCUGACGGAGCAACGCCGCGUGAGUGAUGAAGGCUUUCGGGUCGUAAAACUCUGUUGUUAGGGAAGAACAAGUGCUAGUUGAAUAAGCUGGCACCUUGACGGUACCUAACCAGAAAGCCACGGCUAACUACGUGCCAGCCGCCGCGGUAA